CAAUAAUAUAUUUGUUCUUAAAGAUCGUGAGGUUGUGCAAAUAAUAAAGACAAGAUGCUCGAGCUUUUUGGAUAAUCACCCAGAGUUGAAUCAGGGAUCUUAUUGCAAAGUUGUUCCAUUGAAACUCAUUUCAAGUCUUUUGCACAAAAAAGUUGUAUUCAUGGUUGAUGCUAGGCCUGUGGGUUAUGAGAUGAAUCGAUCUGUGUAUAUUGAUCAACAAAUUUGGGAUGAUGCCUCCAUUAUUAAUGUUUUUGAGGCUGCUGCUGAGAUGAAUGAGCAUAAGAUUCAUGUUCUGGUUGAUUCUAUGCCUGAAGUUGAAGAUGCUUUCAGCCAAUGUGGAAGCGAUCAUGAGGCUGCGGAGGAUCUGCAUGCUUUUUAGUUUAAUAUGUUAAGAACUUAAGAUACUACUUUAAAUUGUUGUUGUGGAGGAUCUUCAUGCUUUUUAGUUUAAUAUGUUCAGAUACUAAUUUAAAUUGUUGUUUGAUUUGUAAUACAAUGUUAGUGUCUUCUGAAUUCUA